rnacentral:lncRNA from 1 species
AAGGUAAAGGGGGAGCAGACACUUCACAUGGUUGGAGCAGGAGCAAGAAAUACAGUGAAAGGGGAGGUGCUACAGAAGUUUUGAGAAUGCCCCCCCGCCCCCAGCUCUGGGGAAGUGUGGUCUGUCGAGGAAAUAAUUCACUAGGUAAAGGGAGUAGAGACUUUUCCAGUCAUAAUACUCUCUGGAAGGGCAGACCAUCACGGUCAGGAGCAGCAUACUAGAUAUUAUUAGAUUUUCCCGUUUCUUUCAAGGAGUUUUAUCACUCCAAUUUCCACUUUCAUCAAUACCUAAAGUGUUGGAAAUUGUGGGUUCCUUUUAGGGACUCAUGUAAUAUUCUCUCCAUGGAUUCAUCCCCUGUAAAACAUCCUUCUACUUUAGCAAUGAGGAGCUUCUACUUGCUUUUCCUACCUGGGAGGAACUUUCUUUAGUUAAUGCUCUGUCACCACUACAUAAUGGUUCAAUGAAAAAAAAAUUUUCUAAAUUUAACGAGCUUAAUCCUUCUACAAUCUGAAGGGUUGGUAAAUUCUAAUCUACAAGAUUCCAUGAGAAUAUUGUGUUGAUUUGUGUGUAUUUACAGCAUCUUAGCUUGAUUAUAUUUUUUAUAGUAGAAUAUAUUUAUCUUCAAGAUAUGCAAAUAUUGGAUUUCGAUGGUAUUUUUUUUUUCUCCUUAAGUGACAAAACAUUCACAGUCACGUUGCUUAGUUUAAAAAUCAAGCAAGUCUUUAAGUAGUACUUUUCCUUCAAGGUAUCUGAUUUGAUUUGAAGCAUAAAUCAAAUCGUAUCUGAUUAUUAUUUGAUUUGUGGGCAGUCCAUUGUAGGAUAAGGAGCCAGCCAGCAGAGAAAUACAUGCAAA